rnacentral:rRNA from 1 species
AUUGAACGCUGGCGGAAUGCUUUACACAUGCAAGUCGAACGGUAGAGGGGGCAACCCCUUGAGAGUGGCGAACGGGUGAGUAAAGCAUCGGAACGUACCGUGUAGUGGGGGAUAGCCCGGCGAAAGCCGGAUUAAUACCGCAUACGACCUAAGGGUGAAAGCGGGGGAUCGCAAGACCUCGCGCUAUUGGAGCGGCCGAUGCCUGAUUAGCUUGUUGGUGGGGUAAAAGCCCACCAAGGCGACGAUCAGUAGCUGGUCUGAGAGGACGAUCAGCCACACUGGGACUGAGACACGGCCCAGACUCCUACGGGAGGCAGCAGUGGGGAAUUUUGGACAAUGGGGGAAACCCUGAUCCAGCAAUGCCGCGUGAGUGAAGAAGGCCUCGGUUGUAAGCUCUUUGUCAGGGAAGAAACACCGGCUCUAACACAGUCCGGGAAUGACGGUACCUGAAGAAUAAGCACCGGCUAACUACGUG